GACGAACGCUGGCGGCGUGCCUAAUACAUGCAAGUCGAGCGGACCUUUGAAGAGCUUGCUCUUUGAGGUUAGCGGCGGACGGGUGAGUAACACGUGGGCAACCUGCCUGUAAGCUUGGGAUAACUCCGGGAAACCGGUGCUAAUACCGAAUACAACAAAGGACUGCAUGGUCCUUUGUGAAAAGACCUUGUGUCACUUACAGAUGGGCCCGCGGCGCAUUAGCUUGUUGGUGGGGUAACGGCCUACCAAGGCGACGAUGCGUAGCCGACCUGAGAGGGUGAUCGGCCACACUGGGACUGAGACACGGCCCAGACUCCUACGGGAGGCAGCAGUAGGGAAUCUUCCGCAAUGGACGAAAGUCUGACGGAGCAACGCCGCGUGAGCGAUGAAGGUUUUCGGAUCGUAAAGCUCUGUUGUUAGGGAAGAACCGCCGGGAUGACCUCCCGGUCUGACGGUACCUAACGAGAAAGCCCCGGCUAACUACGUGCCAGCCGCCGCGGUAAAAC
rnacentral:rRNA from 1 species